rnacentral:pre_miRNA from 1 species
UGUAUUCCAUUGGUGUGUCAGUUCAAUUGUAGCUGGAUGUAUUCCAUUGGUGUGUCAGCUACAAUUGAACUGACACACCAAUUGAAUACAU